AUCAAUACGUUUUAAGUGAAUAACUACUUAUUCUAAUCGAAUACAAUAUGUAAAAAUAAUUACAUUUUAUUAUUUAAACUUAAACUUUAGCCAAAUGAAACAACAUGUCAUUUGCAACUAAUUUCACAUUUUCGUAAAAACCCUCUUUUUCUCAUAAGUUCGUAAAACUACAGCUAGGGGUGCUAUAAUUAAAAAGAAAACUUUCCAAUUUUCUAAGUUAAUUAGCUCCGGCUCUAUAGCACGGAUCGGGCUGAAAUUUUGGUAGAGGGAGCGGAUUGAGCUAAAAAUUCUUCAUGAAUCUCUCUUAAACAUGCCUAAGAAACUUACUUAUGUUAUAAAGAAUAAGGUAAAUACCAAUUAUUAAAGCAUUCUUAUUGAUUAGGUUUUUUAAAUUUUCAUUUUAAAAAAAUUGAAUGAAUUUCGCUCUAAAUCAUCCAAAAAUUUAAUAUUUGGCUGGCGUACACGCACGAACGCAAAUGCACGAGGGUCAGUGUAUUGUGUUCUUCAAAUGACGUGAUUUGCAUAAAAUAAAUAAUAUUACUUUCUAUAUGCAUUGAUUAUAACAAUUAAUAAUUUGAAUGAAAUUUAUAUUUAUUUAGAAUGAAAAACCAAUCAAAUCUAAUACUAUUUUUUGAAUCAAUAGCAUAAGUAUUUGAAAAAAAGGAAACUACAUUCAGAUCUAUGACUGAUUCCAUCAGUACGGAAAACAUUAAAACGAGUCAGUCUUGAAGAAGCCGCUGAGUUGAAAAGUUGUCACACAAAUUAUUUCCAAUCUAUUUGAAAAUGAAAAAAAAACUAAAAAAUGGUUACAGUGGAUAAGUAAACUUAUAAAGUUGCAAAAAUCAUCAAGUGAUCGACAAAGAAAUUUGAUAAAGUGUUGGAAAUCGUUAGAUUGGGUAAGUAAAAAAAUGUUUGCCAGAAAAGUAUUAACCAUAUUCGGUAAAUUAAAUUAAAUUUAUUUCUUCUUUUAAGCUAAAAUGGAAUGUCAAACUUUUUAUUAUUUUAUUUAAAUUUAAAAUUCGUCGUAAGAAUUUUUUAUUAUUUAAUAUUUUACUAACGAUUUGUAAUUUUCGAUAUUGUUCAAGUUCAAUCGAUCAUCCUGAUUGCAAGUCAUUGUUGAUUGGAAACGUCCGUGAGCAGAAGCUGGAAAAUUAUCACCAUAUCUGUUUUAUCGAACUACUUUUCUUCAAAAAUUCCAUCUAGGAGAGACCUAAAUAGUAUCAAGGACAAUCAUUGUCUUUUCCAUGGAAUUGGAAAAGUGAUUCGCAGAUAGCAGCAGAACUCAGAGCAAACAGUAAAGGACGUAAAUCUGCAAAACACAACUUAGAAAAGUGAGCGCUGUAAUAAAAGUAGACGAGGAGCACUACCACUGAUCAAAUUUCAUUAUGUCAUCGUUUAUCUUUACGGGGCAAAAGACAAUCAGUCUUUUGAAGUAUCUUAUUUCUUCUGAAACUGGUAAACACUAUUGGGAGAAAGCAGAAGAGCAUACAUCCAAAAGCUGAGAAGAAGACUUCACGAAACUACUAGAAAGUCGUGCAACACCCCAUAGAAAUUAAUGUAAUACAAUUUUAUUGUGAAUACACAUUAUUUAUGUCAAAUAAAUUUAUUUUUGAAAUCAUAGCAAGAGUUUUUUAAAUAUACCCUGGUACUGUUAUAUCUACCCGAGGAUAUUAUUUGAAUUAAUGUGGACGAAUAUCAAAGCAAACAUAUUUGCCAUUGAAUCUAUGGUAAAGAACAUUUAAAUAUACCAAGGAAAUUUUUAAUUUUACCCAUUGUGUAUUUAAAUUAAUGGUAACUCGUAGUUAAAACAAAUAUUUCUACUAUUGAAACUAUGGUAGUGUUACCCAGAAAUUUUUGAUUCUACCCAUGAAAGUGUUUAAAAUCCACUUUAGAAAUAAAGUGCAAAUGUAUUUGAUUUAAAAGACAUGUUUUCUUUUCAAAUACAGUGCCAUUCAAAAUAAAUACAAAUAUAUUUGUUGUGGCUAUGAUUACUGCCUUUCAGAUCAAAUGUAAAAAUAUUUGAAGUAAAAGUCGUCUGUAUUCAAAUCAAAUAAAACAUUAGAAACAAAUGUAUUCUACCAUUGGGGCCAAAAUACCCAUAAUUUCAUUUGAUUUUACCCAGAAAAACAUUAAUACUACCCAUAAAA